UCUGGCUCAGGACGAACGCUGGCGGCGUGCCUAAUACAUGCAAGUCGAGCGGACAGAAGGGAGCUUGCUCCCGGAUGUUAGCGGCGGACGGGUGAGUAACACGUGGGUAACCUGCCUGUAAGACUGGGAUAACUCCGGGAAACCGGAGCUAAUACCGGAUAGUUCCUUGAACCGCAUGGUUCAAGGAUGAAAGACGGUUUCGGCUGUCACUUACAGAUGGACCCGCGGCGCAUUAGCUAGUUGGUGAGGUAACGGCUCACCAAGGCGACGAUGCGUAGCCGACCUGAGAGGGUGAUCGGCCACACUGGGACUGAGACACGGCCCAGACUCCUACGGGAGGCAGCAGUAGGGAAUCUUCCGCAAUGGACGAAAGUCUGACGGAGCAACGCCGCGUGAGUGAUGAAGGUUUUCGGAUCGUAAAGCUCUGUUGUUAGGGAAGAACAAGUGCAAGAGUAACUGCUUGCACCUUGACGGUACCUAACCAGAAAGCCACGGCUAACUACGUGCCAGCAGCCGCGGUAAUACGUAGGUGGCAAGCGUUGUCCGGAAUUAUUGGGCGUAAAGGGCUCGCAGGCGGUUUCUUAAGUCUGAUGUGAAAGCCCCCGGCUCAACCGGGGAGGGUCAUUGGAAACUGGGAAACUUGAGUGCAGAAGAGGAGAGUGGAAUUCCACGUGUAGCGGUGAAAUGCGUAGAGAUGUGGAGGAACACCAGUGGCGAAGGCGACUCUCUGGUCUGUAACUGACGCUGAGGAGCGAAAGCGUGGGGAGCGAACAGGAUUAGAUACCCUGGUAGUCCACGCCGUAAACGAUGAGUGCUAAGUGUUAGGGGGUUUCCGCCCCUUAGUGCUGCAGCUAACGCAUUAAGCACUCCGCCUGGGGAGUACGGUCGCAAGACUGAAACUCAAAGGAAUUGACGGGGGCCCGCACAAGCGGUGGAGCAUGUGGUUUAAUUCGAAGCAACGCGAAGAACCUUACCAGGUCUUGACAUCCUCUGACAACCCUAGAGAUAGGGCUUUCCCUUCGGGGACAGAGUGACAGGUGGUGCAUGGUUGUCGUCAGCUCGUGUCGUGAGAUGUUGGGUUAAGUCCCGCAACGAGCGCAACCCUUGAUCUUAGUUGCCAGCAUUCAGUUGGGCACUCUAAGGUGACUGCCGGUGACAAACCGGAGGAAGGUGGGGAUGACGUCAAAUCAUCAUGCCCCUUAUGACCUGGGCUACACACGUGCUACAAUGGACAGAACAAAGGGCUGCGAGACCGCAAGGUUUAGCCAAUCCCACAAAUCUGUUCUCAGUUCGGAUCGCAGUCUGCAACUCGACUGCGUGAAGCUGGAAUCGCUAGUAAUCGCGGAUCAGCAUGCCGCGG
rnacentral:rRNA from 1 species